GAUGAACGCUGGCGGCGUGCCUAAUACAUGCAAGUCGAGCGAACGGACGAGAAGCUUGCUUUUCUGAUGUUAGCGGCGGACGGGUGAGUAACACGUGGAUAACCUACCUAUAAGACUGGGAUAACUUCGGGAAACCGGAGCUAAUACCGGAUAAUAUUUUGAACCGCAUGGUUCAAAAGUGAAAGACGGUCUUGCUGUCACUUAUAGAUGGAUCCGCGCUGCAUUAGCUAGUUGGUAAGGUAACGGCUUACCAAGGCAACGAUGCAUAGCCGACCUGAGAGGGUGAUCGGCCACACUGGAACUGAGACACGGUACAGACUCUUACGGGAGGCAGCAGUAGGGAAUCUUCCGCAAUGGGCGAAAGCCUGACGGAGCAACGCCGCGUGAGUGAUGAAGGUCUUCGGAUCGUAAAACUCUGUUAUUAGGGAAGAACAUAUGUGUAAGUAACUGUGCACAUCUUGACGGUACCUAAUCAGAAAGCCACGGCUAACUACGUG
rnacentral:rRNA from 1 species